CACGUAGGGCGCAAGCGUUGUCCGGAAUUAUUGGGCGUAAAGAGCUCGUAGGCGGUCUGUUACGUCUGCUGUGAAAACCCAGGGCUUAACCCUGGGCUUGCAGUGGAUACGGGCAGACUAGAGGCAGGUAGGGGAGAAUGGAAUUCCCGGUGUAGCGGUGAAAUGCGCAGAUAUCGGGAGGAACACCGGUGGCGAAGGCGGUUCUCUGGGCCUGACCUGACGCUGAGGAGCGAAAGCGUGGGGAGCGAACAGGG
rnacentral:rRNA from 1 species